UCCCUACCUUGAGCCAAAACAUCUUGCAACGGACAUCUCGUUAUUCUUGUGUUGCCUCGUGAAACUGGUGGACAUGAACCUUCCCUGAGAUAUUAGUGACAUUACUGCUGAGUGCCUGUUGUGUGCCAGCCUAGAGGACACAGCCGCGUUAGACUAAAUCUCUCCCCUCAAAGAGCUCAUAGUCUAGCCGGAGGAUCCUGGGAAAACGAAUGAAUAUGGAACUUAAUUCUGGAGAGCUCCACAGGGCUCAGACGUGGGCUUGAUCUUGCAGUGCCCAUUCUCUCUUGGUUUUCCUUCUCUCAACUCCUAUGCCUUGGAAGGGCUCCUCUAUCUCAAUCUGCCCUGAAGAUUCCAUUCUUGAAGUUUUGCUUUGUCUGAGAGACGGCAUCCUCACCUGGAGUCACAAUAGCGGGCCAGACCCUCCAGUGGGCUCCUGAGACCGGCCUGUGCGCAUCUCUUCCCAGAUCCACUUUUGGUAACCUCAUGUUGGUAGUUUGAAAUUGGCCAUAGUGGGUGUGUUUACACCACAGGAAUUGGGAAAUGCUACAAAUCAGAGCCUCCUUUCUGUGGAGAGCCUUUUGUUACCAGCACACCACUGCAUAGUUAACUGUCUUUAGGAUAGUGGUAUCCAAAUGUGUCCAUUGUCUAUCCCUGGCUGUGUGUCUCACAGGCACUUCAAACUCAACAGGUCAACGAUGACUUUCCUUCCAUUUUCCCAAAACAUAACCCUCCUCCUGGAUGACCUCUCCCGGUUGAUGGCAUUGCCACUCAUCCAAUUCCUGAAGCCACAGUCAUUCAAAAAGCAUUUUAGAUGCUCUCCUCUUCUUUGCCCCCGUGUCUGAUUAACCAUUAAACACUAUUCAUUCCACAGAUGUGCUCUCACUAAAACCUGUACCCUCUUCUCCAUUCCCACUCCCACGGAUGGAGUCUAGGUCCUCUUCAUUUUUCUCUAAAAUGAUUGCAGGGGCACCUGGAUGGCUCAGUCAGUUGAGUGUCUGACUCUUGAUUUGGGCUCAGGUCAUGAUCCUGGGGUCGUGGGAUCAAGCCCUGUGUUGAGCUCCGUGCUGAGCGCAGAGCCUGCUUAAGACUCUCUCUCCUUCUGCCCCUCUCUCCCACUCACACGUGCUCUCUCUCUAAAAUUAAAUUAAAAAAUAAGAUGAUUGCAGUUCCCUCCAACUGGUCAUACUGUCAUUAGUCUCUUGGCUACAAACCAAAGUGAAUCUUUAAUUUGGUCUGAUGCCCCUUCCACUGGUUGAGAAAUUCCCCACCUUGAAGAAAGCAGAAUUCAUUUCCCAUCAUAGACUUUGAACCUCCCAGUUCCUGGCUCCUCCAAUUUCCUUGCAGCUGGAACCAGGGAGGUUACCUAACCUUCACUAGAGACAUGCACCCUGCCAUCCAUUACGGCCGUGGGCAGCAGCACCGGCAGCACCCAGGGCCCAGUGCAGGUGGCAGAAUGGGUUAUGACACCCAGUGUUGAAUGGUCUCAACAGCCAGCACCUUCCCAAACUGGUUCUGUGGCAUAAUGUUGGCUGGGAUCCCAGCUGCUGCCUGUUUUCUGAGCCCAACUCCCCAUCAUGCCUGGUGUUGCUGUGAACUCUCCAACAUGCUUGCAGUGUCUGCUGUGCUAGAAAAAUCAGUCAGCAAUUUGGUUCUCAACUCUCAAUAUUAUCCCCUCUCAUCCCCACAGCUUUUCCUUAUCCACUCUUUUUUUAAAGUUUAUUUUAAUUUUUUUUUAAUUUUACAUCCAAAUUAACAUACAGUGCAACAGUGAUUUCAGGAGUAGAUUCCUUAAUGCCCCUUCCCAUUGAGCCCAUCCCCCCUCCCACAAUCCCUCCAGUAACCCUCUGUUCUCCAUAUUUAAGAGUCUCUUAUGUUUUGUCCCCCUCCCUGUUUUUAUAUUUUUUUUUUUGCUUCCCUUCCCUUAUGUUCAUCUGUUGUGUGUGUUAAAGUCCUCAUAUGAGUGAAGGCAUAUGGUAUUUGUGUUUCUCUGACUAAUUUCACUUAGCAUAAUACCCUCUAGUUCCAUCCACGUAGUUGCAAAUGGCAAGAUUUCAUUCUUUUUGAUUGUCGAGUAAUACUCCAUUGUAUAUACCACAUCUUCUUUAUCCAUUCAUCCAUUGAUGGACAUUUGGGCUCUUUCCAUACUUUGGCUAUUGUUGAUAGUGCUGCCAUAAACAUGGGGGUGCAUGUGCCCCUUCGAAACAGCACCCCUGCAUCCCUUGGAUAAAUACCUAGUAGUGCAAUUGCUGGGUCUUAGGGUAGUGCUAUUUUUAAUUUUUUGUUCCAGUCCACUCUUUUUUCUUAAAUAACUUCAUUUAUUUAUUUUGACAGAGACAGAGACAGCAUGAGUGGGGGAAGGCAGAGAGAGGGAGAGAGUCCCAAGAAGGCUCUGUGCUGCCAUCACAGAGCCCAAUGUGGGGCUCAAACCCAUGAAGAUGUGAGAUCAUGACCUGAGCCGAAGUCAAGAGUUGGACGCUUAACUGACUGAGCUACCCAGGUGCCCCUCCUUAUUCACUCUUAAAACAUUCCUAAAAAGCUCAUCAUUUCAUUGUAAUGUCAUCUGACAUUUUCUACUCCUUUCCUCAGCCAAAAGAAUAGUCUUCUGAGAGUCCUUUGUCUAUCUUUUCCAUUCCUUGUUCAUGUCCCAUGUUUUGAUCAGGCUCUUUUCAAAUCAGAACCCACUGGAGAGUCAAUUCCCUGGGUAAUGACAUUAUUUUAUUUAGGUGCUCCCUCUUUUCUAUUUGGAUCAGUUUUCGACCUACUGUUAGAACACCUUCCUGGGCUUCUUGUAGGCCUGCUGUCCCGUCCCCUAAACUGGGCCUUCACCGCAUGGUACACAGAGCCUCAUGCAGCCUAUAACUGCAUGGCAGCAUAUCCUGGUUCUGCACAUCUCCUUACAGCCUCACACAAGUCCUUUGGACUGAUCCCAGGGCUGUGUUGUAGCUUCAGUUGGCCUUGCUUGACUUUCUGUGCUCCUUCCAAGAAUAUCUCCCACCCAAUCCAGUCAAGCUCCUAGUCCCUCACCUCAGAACUGGCCCUGAGAGGCAGGUCCCCCUCCAGGCUCCUCUAAAUACAGACUAGGCCCCUGCCACCCUUUCGGGCCCCCAUCAUGGAGCCUUCUUCUUUUCUCUGAACAUUUUGAGAUCUCUAUGGUGAAGUCUGAAACAGCACGAUUGCUUUCACCGAAGUGUCCCCUUUAGUCAGAGUAACCUCAGAGUAGCAAUUUUUCAAACUAAUUGUGUCUACGUUUUGGAUUCUGAGACACGAAACUAUCCAUUACACAAAAGUAGAACCUAUCAUCCUAUACUUACAGGAGAACUAAACUUUUUUGAGAUGCCUUGAUAAUUAAACAUUCUAUUUUUUGCCAAACUCCUCUUCCUGCGACGGAUUGCCUCUAUCUCGCUUAAAGACACUACCAUCUAGUCAAACAGGUCUUCUAGAUUGUCAAGAGUCUUCAGAAGGCAUCUCCAUUCGUCCACAGCUGUUGGAGAACAUGGCAAAGACAGUGGAAGAAGGAAGUUACAUCAGCCAACCAUUUCUCUUUGUAUUCCACUAAUGUUUACAUCUCACUGAACAUCAGAACAUCUUGAAAAUACAAUUGCUUAAAAGGUAUAAAGACACAGAAACAACCUAACACUAAUAAGAAUGGUAUAAUAA